rnacentral:rRNA from 1 species
AAGGGAGCCAGCCGCCGAAGGGGGGGCAAGUGAUUGGGGUGAAGUCGUAACAAGGUAGACGUACCGGAAGGUGCGGCUGGAUCACCGCCUUUCUAAGGA